rnacentral:rRNA from 1 species
UAGGGAAUCUUCGGCAAUGGACGAAAGUCUGACCGAGCAACGCCGCGUGAGUGAAGAAGGUUUUCGGAUCGUAAAACUCUGUUGUUAGAGAAGAACAAGGACGUUAGUAACUGAACGUCCCCUGACGGUAUCUAACCAGAAAGCCACGGCUAACUACGUGCUAGCAGCCGCGGUAAUACGUAGGUGGCAAGCGUUGUCCGGAUUUAUUGGGCGUAAAGCGAGCGCAGGCGGUUUCUUAAGUCUGAUGUGAAAGCCCCCGGCUCAACCGGGGAGGGUCAUUGGGAACUGGGAGACUUGAGUGCAGAAGAGGGGAGUGGAAUUCCAUGUGUAGCGGUGAAAUGCGUAGAUAUAUGGAGGAACACCAGUGGCGAAGGCGGCUCUCUGGUCUGUAACUGACACUAAGGCUCGAAAGCGUGGGGAGCAGACAGG